rnacentral:rRNA from 1 species
UGGGGAAUAUUGCACAAUGGGCGAAAGCCUGAUGCAGCGACGCCGCGUGAGGGAUGACGGCCUUCGGGUUGUAAACCUCUUUCGACAGGGACGAAGCGCAAGUGACGGUACCUGUAGAAGAAGCACCGGCCAACUACGUGCCAGCAGCCGCGGUAAUACGUAGGGUGCGAGCGUUGUCCGGAAUUACUGGGCGUAAAGAGCUUGUAGGCGGUCUGUCGCGUCGUCCGUGAAAACUUGGGGCUCAACCCCAAGCUUGCGGGCGAUACGGGCAGACUUGAGUACUUCAGGGGAGACUGGAAUUCCUGGUGUAGCGGUGAAAUGCGCAGAUAUCAGGAGGAACACCGGUGGCGAAGGCGGGUCUCUGGGAAGUAACUGACGCUGAGAAGCGAAAGCGUGGGUAGCAAACAG